rnacentral:misc_RNA from 1 species
GCAAACUUGGUCAUUUAGAGGAAGUAAAAGUCGUAACAAGGUUUCCGUAGGUGAACCUGCGGAAGGAUCAUUAUUGAGUUGGGGUUCUUAGGGGCCCGAUCUCCCACCAUUGUCUAUCCUACCACGUUGCUUUGACGAGCCCGUCUCAUCGGACCGCCGGGGAUCUAGGUUUCUGGCCAGUGCUCGUCAAUAGCCUCAAUAAAUUCUCUUGAAAACCCGCGUCCGAGUUUGAUGUGAAUACAUUUAUUAAAAACUUUCAACAACGGAUCUCUUGGUUCUGGCAUCGAUGAAGAACGCAGC